rnacentral:lncRNA from 1 species
AGAGUACUUUGCAGAUGUUUUUAAGAGAAGCUGAUAUAGCGGCUCCUUGGUUUGCUUUUUCAGGGAGUCUUAUGAUUCCCAGCUGGGACAAAUUAGGGAAAGAUCUAGAUUUCGCUCGUGAGCAAGGCACCUUAGAGGGUGGCGUUAUACCACUUUGGAAGUUAGUUAGAGGAUGUAUAACAGAUGGUAAAUGCCAGGAAGCUGUGAGUGAGGGUCAAGCUAUUCUUGAGCAAUUGCAUGAGGAAAAAUCUGAAGGAUCAUGUAGUGAAGUGGCAGAGAGUAUUAAAAGUAACAGUAGUGAGAAGGCAAAAGAGCCUGAAGAUAAAAAUAGGAGAAGGCUCUACCCAGACUUGACAGAAUUAAAAACGCCUGAGAACACAAGCGACUCAGAGAGUUCUGAGGACCUUGAUAUAUUGUUAUAACAACUACAUAAGAUAAAAAUGAAAAAGAAGAAAACGGAGACACAGGG